UCUCUCCAAGGAUCGCUGUGGCCUCUGUAAGCUCCCCUCAUAACUGCUCUGAACUGAGCACCCUGCUGAUGAGGGCUUCUUUCUUUGGAAUCCCAAUCGACCCCAUCCUGGAACAGUUCAGAGUACUCCCUUGUGGGAAUUCCCCCGCCGCUGCUUUUGGGGUGAUUCCAGCGUUGGGUUGGCUGGACAAAACAGCCUCGAAGCAUACUGCCCCAAAUCUGGUCCUUCUGAGUUUCUGAUUCCCUCACUCUUCAUCUCUUAUGACGCCUUCCUAAACAUUCCUGAGAGUUUCAAACAUUGUCUUUCAUUUGACUCAGGGAUUCAUCAUCCGCUUCCUGUUGAAAUAGUAAACGCCUCCACAUGGACUCACGGGUUCACCUCCUUCCGGUCUGAACAGUGAACUCCUCCGCAUCAACUCACCCAUUCACCCCUUCCGGUCUAAACAGUGAACGCCUCCGCAUGGACUCACGAGUUCACCUCCUUCCGGUCUAAACAGUGAACGCCUCCGCAUCGACUCACGGGUUCACCUCCUUCCGGUCUGAACAGUGAACUCCUCCGCAUGGACUCACGGGUUCACCUCCUUCCGGUCUGAACAGUGAACGCCUCCGCAUCGACUCACGGGUUCACCUCCUUCCGGUCUGAACAGUGAACUCCUCCGCAUGGACUCACGGGUUCACCUCCUUCCGGUCUGAACAGUGAACUCCUCCGCAUCGACUCACGGGUUCACCUCCUUCCGGUCUGAACAGUGAACUCCUCCGCAUGGACUCACGGGUUCACCUCCUUCCGGUCUGAACAGUGAACUCCGCAUCGACUCACGCGUUCACCUCCUUCCGGUCUAAAUGGUAAACUCCUCUGCAUUUUCUGUUCGGUUCUAUUUUGGUGGGGCCCACGCGUCAUCACAGAGUAUCUGGGAGCCCUGCCCUCUUGCAGAUGGGAAUGAAGGCCCAGGUGCUCUGGAGAGGUGACUCUCCUCUAGUUGUCUCGCUUCUCAGAAAGGAAACACUGGUUCUGUAAACCUGUUUGAGAAGAAAAGCUCGAGGUUUCUUGGCCUCUCUGCUUCUGGAGCCAGGGGAAAAAAUAGCCCCAGGCUGAAGACAGGAGGGACCAGAUUGCUGCUUGGUGAUGCGAUCUCACUGCAGAGGCAGCCAGGAGACCCUCCUGAGACGAAUCGGAGAGUCCAUGCUGCUUUUACACACAUCCUAGUUCUUUUAUAACUAGCCUUUUCCUAUUAACGGACAUCAUUCAAAAGCCAGUUUUAAGCAACAUAAAUAUUGAAAACAAUACUAUACUAUUUAGAAUUAAUUAUAAGUUUUGUUUUUAAAGCCUAAAUCUUUUAUUGUUGUUUGAACCCUGGGCACUGAAGCUAAUAAUGUAACUUUUCUCCCUUCUUUCUUCUUUGGCAUAGAUUUAAAGAACUGUUAGACUCAUUUAAAAUGCUAUUAGGCAUUUUAAAGAGUAAUUGUUAAAUGUGUUGUCUCUUGUGGGACUGGAAAUGUUCUGUUCUUAUCUGGCGCUGGUUACAUCCUGUUUUUCAUUUGGGAAAGUGCAUUGAGCUGGAAAUUUAUAUGUUCAAUUUCUGUAUGUAAAUUGUACUUCAGUAAAAAUUUUCAAAAAAGUG
rnacentral:lncRNA from 1 species